rnacentral:tRNA from 1 species
GGGCUACUAGCUCAGUUGGCUAGAGCACUGGACUCUUAAUCCAGGUGUCCUGGGUUCGAAUCCCAGGUGGCUCA